rnacentral:rRNA from 1 species
GAUGAACGCUGGCGGCGUGCCUAAUACGUGCAAGUCGAGCGAACAGACGAGGAGCUUGCUCCUCUGACGUUAGCGGCGGACGGGUGAGUAACACGUGGAUAACCUACCUAUAAGACUGGGAUAACUUCGGGAAACCGGAGCUAAUACCGGAUAAUAUAUUGAACCGCAUGGUUCAAUAGUGAAAGACGGUUUUGCUGUCACUUAUAGAUGGAUCCGCGCCGCAUUAGCUAGUUGGUAAGGUAACAGCUUACCAAGGCAACGAUGCGUAGCCGACCUGAGAGGGGUGACCGCCCACACUGAACCUGGACCAGGCCCCGACCCCUGGCGGGGGCAGCAGGGGUGCAUCCGCCGGCAGGGGGGGAAGCCCGGCGGGGCCACGCCCGGGUGAGUAAGAAGGGUUUUGGUUCCUAAACACCUUUUUUUUGGGAAAAAAAAAAUGUGAAAGAACAUGUGCAGUUUUGCCCGCUCCUUAACAGAAACCCCCGGCCCACCCCCGCC